AGAGUUUGAUCAUGGCUCAGAUUGAACGCUGGCGGCGUGCCUAACACAUGCAAGUCGAGCGGUAACAGGUGUAGCAAUACAUGCUGACGAGCGGCGAACGGGUGAGUAAUGCUUUGGAAUCUUCCCAGUAGUGGGGAAUAACCAGUCGAAAGAUUGGCUAAUACCGCAUACGUCUGUAAAGGGAAAGCGGGGGCUCGUAAGACCUCGCGCUAUUGGAUGAGCCAAAGUCGGAUUAGCUAGUUGGUGGGGUAAUGGCCUACCAAGGCGACAAUCCGUAGCUGGUCUGAGAGGACGACCAGCCACACCGGAACUGAGACACGGUCCGGACUCCUACGGGAGGCAGCAGUGGGGAAUAUUGGACAAUGGGGGAAACCCUGAUCCAGCGACGCCGCGUGUGUGGAGAAGGCCUGCGGGUUGUAAAGCACUUUUAGUGGGGACAAAAAGCUACGGAUUAAUACUUCGUGGUCUUGAUUUAACCCAAAGAAAAAGCACCGGCUAACUCUGUGCCAGCAGCCGCGGUAAUACAGAGGGUGCGAGCGUUAAUCGGAAUUACUGGGCGUAAAGCGCGCGUAGACGGUUUUGUAAGUCAGAUGUGAAAUCCCUGGGCUCAACCUGGGAACUGCAUUUGAAACUGCAUGGCUAGAGUAUGGAAGAGGGAAGUGGAAUUUCCGGUGUAGCGGUGAAAUGCGUAGAUAUCGGAAGGAACACCAGUGGCGAAAGCGACUUCCUGGUCCAAUACUGACGUUCAUGUGCGAAAGCG
rnacentral:rRNA from 1 species